GAUGAAGAACGCAGCGAAAUGCGAUAAGUAAUGUGAAUUGCAGAAUUCAGUGAAUCAUCGAAUCUUUGAACGCACCUUGCGCCCUUUGGCCAUUCCGAAGGGCAUGCCUGUUUGAGUAUCAUGAACACCUCAACUCUUUAUGGUUUUCCAUGAUGAGCUUGGACUUUGGGGGUUUUGCUGGCCUAUGGUCGGCUCCUCUAAAAUAAAUCAGCUUACCGGUGUUUGGUGGGUAUCAUGGGUGUGAUAACUAUCUACGCUUGUGGUUUUUCCACCAAGUAACCUUCGACAGCGGAGGUUCACUGGAGCUCAUAGAUGUCUCUCCUCAGCGAGGACAGCCCUUUGAAUGUUUGAUCUCAAAUCAGGUAGGACUACCCGCUGAACUUAAGCAUAUCAAUAAGCGGAGGA
rnacentral:misc_RNA from 1 species